GGGCCCAUGGCGCAGUUGGUAGCGCGUCUCGUUUGCAACGAGAAGGUCGUCGGUUCGACCCCGACUGGGUCCA
rnacentral:tRNA from 2 species